ensembl:lncRNA
AUUAAAAUACAUUUUAAGCCCAAACUUUUUCACAAGACUAUCACAGGACAAUGUGUCAGACACCAGGCAGCAUAUAUCCACUCAUUUUAUGGAGCUUUCAGACGUCUGGUUCCUAUCACCAGCACUGUGAACCAAUCAGACUGUCUGUAGAACAGAGCGUUUCACACCAAACCACACUUUGUUUACACGUAAUUCUGAAGAAUUUUUGAAAAAUCCGUGGACUUCCCCUUCAGUCCGAAGCCAUUCGCUGACCAGACCGCACUAAAAGCUGAACUGAAGAUCCCCACGUGCUUUAUUUUGGGACUCUCCACUCACCGAGGUCCGGAUUUUAAGCAUAAAAAAAAAGUAAAACUAACAUGUAGAAAUAUCAUUAAAACAUCACCGCUCGUUAUUUUUAUUACUUUAAAGUAAAAAAAAAAGUAAAACGCUGUUGAAUUACGUAAAAAACGUUUUUGUCGUCCUAAUAAAUAAAUAAAUAAAUCCCUCUUUCCGAGGCGCUGAUUGGCUCCUCGAAACGUCCGUUCUUUUAUCCCCGCCCACACGCGUGCCCGCGCCCGCUCCCUACUCGGAUCUCCGCUGUGGAGCCCUACAGUGGACUACAGGUGGACUACACACAGAGGACUACAAAUCCCAGCGUCUCCUGCCGACCGCGGGCUCCCGAGCGCUGAAAAUCCGUCGUGAUUUUUUUUUAUUUUUUUUUUUACUUUAUUUAUUUAUUUAUUUAUCGGCUCGAAACCGACUCCGCCGACACUCGGAGAGAAAGUAUUGUUGUUUUUUUUCCCCGCGGCAUAACAGCGAAGCGAUGGCGUCGUCAAACUAACGACUGAUAACACUGGGUCUACAGCGCUUCCCUGUGACCCAGCCUUCGCAUAAUUGGACCCAGUCAUGACAGGCCGUGAGAAGCUUCAGGCACCACCGUUCUGAAAGAGUAACCCUUCUGCCUGACUGAACCCCGACAGGUCUGUGCUGGAGUGAGGAAGGCAGAGAUGAAGGUGGUGCGGCGGAGAGACUCACACAGCCCGUUCUCUGAAAACUCAGACAAUGACUGUGAGGACGAAAGGGGCGCCGACUGCAGGAAGGCUGACGGAGUUUGCCUGUGUGAGAAGGGACCCUACUGCAAACAGCAUCCUCAAACGGAGAGCAGCCUGAAGUGCAGUGAAUGUGGUAAAAACAAGGCGAUAGUCGCCAGAUACUCUGAAGGCUACGGUACUGAGGAGGAGUGUGUGCAGUCUGAUCCUCAAGGAGAGAGUGAUGCAGAUGCAGACAUAGAGGAUACAGACAGCAGACUACAGGUGGUGGGUUCUCUUCAGCGAAUCAGCUCUCGCAAACGAAAGCGGCAGCGAAUCGCACGGCAGGACACGACAGAGAGUGAGGAUGACGGAGGGAGGAGCCACCGGACCCACCGCUGGAGCCUGAGGCUGAGCCCCCAUCGCACACACAACAGAACCAUAUUAGAGGAGAGCAUUUCUCAGGUAAGGCCGCUGGUGAUUUGUCGCUGUAACGCGUUAGAAACCCCGGCCGCCUCGGACAACAAGCCCCAAAGAGGAAGAUGGCUGCUGAAAGCUUGGCCUUUCUCUCUCUCUUUCCCUCUGUUCUUUCUCCUCAUCCUUCUUCCUGUCUCCAUAUCUAUCAUAAUUGUGUUCUUUUCAUUCCUUCUCCCACUUACUAACACCUGA